GGGUAUUUCAAAAGUGUAUUUAAAGAAAAAUAUUAUUACGUAGAAUAAUAUUAAGAAGCAAUCUUUUCCAAAUAUUUCUGCAGCUUUUCAGAAUAUGUUGGUGCCCUAGUCUGUUUGAAAGAUAAAAUGUUCCACAUGAAUACUCAUGAAACAUUAACUUAAAAGCACAUCAGACUGUUCUAUAAUGAUCUCACUGCAUACUUUCAAAAUUUAAAUUUAAAUUACCUAGACUUUAAAUUUGAACUAUCUACAGUAAAUGAUCCUCAGGUUAAAAAAUUAAGAUUGCUAUAUUCAAAUGACAUAUUGCAUCCAAAUAAAUUAAGACUUGAAUGAUAAUCUGAUCUACAAUUAAAAAACCUUGGCUAUUCUACAGCAUACUAAAACACAGUGGCUCCAUUUUAGCCAAGUCUAGCAUAUUGUGUGCACACAAUCUAACCAUGGCCAAAGAACAUAUUGAUCUUCAUGAAAAUUAUAUAAAUUACAUUAGUUUGUCAUUUUGUUCUAAACACGAUACACAUAGAACAGAACAGAACAGAACAGAACAGAAUAGAAUAGAAUAGAAUAGAAUAGAAUAGAAUAGAAAAAAGAAUAGAAUAGGAUAGAAUUUUUUAUUGGGCAAGUGUGAUUGGACACACAAGGAAUUUGUCUUGGUGCAUCUGCUCUCAGUGUGCAUAAAAGAAAAUAUAGCUUCAUCAAGGUACAACAUACCCAUACAUCUAGUAAACAUGCAUUUUAAUGUCCUUGAAAUCACCAUGUACAUUAAAUGAAUGAAAACCAGAUCGUGAUCUUAACAGAAUCUGACACAAGGAAUCCCUCUUCAACCUCGCCCCUUUACCACGAUCGACCUUUUCCCUUUCCUCCUCUGGACACAAGAGCCUAUACCCUGUGAGAUGAAGUGGUAGCACCGGUGGAAAGCAUUCGGUUGGAAAUGAUUAGAAAAAGACUUGAGCAUGCUUUUGUCUCAGCCGUCCAUAAAAGGGAAACGGCACUUAAAACCCAAAUAGUGUUAAACGAUUAUUGUCUGAUGAGCCGCAACUGGCUUGAUUUAUAUUGUCACUCAACCGUAAACCAUGGUUACAAAUUACACUUGCUGCGUUCAUACAGGACACGGAGAGGUAUAUGCGAACUCAUCGGAUUCUCCUCCUGAAACUAUCUAUAGGAAGAGGUCAGCAAGCCUUUGACACAAUGCAAGGACUUGCAUUAAUAAAACUAUUCAUAUAGCACAGACUGAAGAAGCUACUUGGAUAAGCAAUGAAAUGUUUCAAACCAAAAAAGAAAAGAAGUCCAGUUGCCAUGACUCAACUUCCAAACAACUCUUCCUGGAUGACUGAGAACCUUCACUGAUAUAUUUACAUAGCACAAUUAAA